rnacentral:rRNA from 1 species
UUGGGGCGACCUUGGAAACAAAAAGAACUUCCAAAUUAUGACCAUACCACCAAUAGGCCUACAAGCCGCAAACGACCCAGCAUAGCUGAUAAUUGAACCAAGUUACUCCAGGGAUAACAGCGCAAUCCUCUUCAAGAGCCCAUAUCAAAAAGAGGGUUUACGACCUCGAUGUUGGAUCAGGA